UACGGAGGGGGCUAGCGUUGUUCGGAAUUACUGGGCGUAAAGAGCUCGUAGGCGGUUCACUAAGUCGGGUGUGAAACCUCCAGGCUCAACCUGGAGACGCCACCUGAUACUGGUGUGACUAGAGUCCGGUAGGGGAGUGUGGAACUCCUGGUGUAGCGGUGAAAUGCGCAGAUAUCAGGAAGAACACCAGCGGCGAAGGCGGCACUCUGGGCCGGUACUGACGCUGAGGAGCGAAAGCGUGGGUAGCAAACAGG
rnacentral:rRNA from 1 species